rnacentral:rRNA from 1 species
UACGGAGGGUGCAAGCGUUAUCCGGACUCACUGGGUUUAAAGGGUGCGUAGGUGGGCUGGUAAGUCAGUGGUGAAAUCUCCAGGCUUAACUUGGAAACUGCCAUUGAUACUAUCAGUCUUGAAUACCGUGGAGGUCAGCGGAAUAUGUCAUGUAGCGGUGAAAUGCUUAGAUAUGACAUAGAACACCAAUUGCGAAGGCAGCUGGCUACACGAAUAUUGACACUGAUGCACGAAAGCGUGGGGAUCAAACAGG